rnacentral:rRNA from 1 species
UACGAAGGGGGCAAGCGUUGUUCGGAAUUACUGGGCGUAAAGCGCGUGUAGGUGGAAUGGUAAGCAAGAGGUGAAAUCCCAGAGCUCAACUGUGGGAUUGCCUUUUGAACUAUCAUUCUGGAGUACUGGAGGGGAGUGCGGAAUUCCCAAUGUAGAGGUGAAAUUCGUAGAUAUUAGCAGGAACACCGGUGGCGAAGGCGGCACUCUGGACAAUAACUGACACUGAGACGCGAAAGCGUGGGGAGCAAACAGG